rnacentral:ncRNA from 11 species
GGCGGGAGUAACUAUGACUCUCUU